UUUAUCCAUCUCUGUAUAUAUAGAUAAAAAUUAGUCCCACAAAUACAAAAAAAAAAUAAAUAAAUAAAAAACUACUACAUAUACUAAAAUAAACAAUAAAAAAUAAAUAAAUAAAGAACAACAAACACUUAAUCUAUUCUGGAAUAAAUCAGUUUGAUACAACUUUGAAACUAUGAGGACUACGUAAGUAACUUUUUCUUUUUUUAAAGAAAGUUAUUUUUUCUUUUUUCUCAACCCAGAUCUUCUUCAUGUGGAAAAUGACACAGACCAAUAUGUCGAUUGGAUGAAUGAUUAUUGUUUUGGUGGAAAACUCCAUGAUGAGGGCACGCUGAAAUGACACUUGAGAAGCUCGGUCAAAUUUUUUUUGCAUAAAUUAAGACACGUCAUCAAAUGGGAAGAGAAUAUAAAAGGAAUGCAUGCCCUGUAUGAUGCCUCAUAGUGGUCUUCCUGUCUUGGCGGGUCGUGAUGAGUCAAUUGAAUAAGAUUAAUUAAAUGGAUUAAGUCCAACAUAACCCCCUGAUUAUCUGAUCGUGUUAUGUAUUUACUUAUUAAUUUUUUUUUGUGAGUAUCUAAUUGUGUUAAAACCUUCAAUCUUUAGAUGACUUGGUUAUUGAACGAAUAACCCGGCAUAACCCUGCCUAAUCCAUUCGAUACAAAAGUGGUUUUGGAUUGCCAUGUGUUAAAUUAUUUUAAUUAUAAUGAGAAUAGAGGUUAAAAGUUGUAUUUGAAUUAAUAUCAUUUGUUGUUAUAUCAUCUUAAAUUGUUAAAUUAUAAAUUAACUUACAAAUUUAAGCAGAUAACAAAAAAUAAAUUUAAUUAUUUAACCAUAUAAAUUGAACUAGAAUUAGUUUCAACUUAAUCAAUAAAGAUGUCCCAUCUGUUUUUUUUUUCUAUUCGAGAUGUCCCAUCUGGUUGAUUCAAAAGAUUUGAUACAAAAUUGACUUGAUUGGCAUAAAUUAAUAAUUGAUAAGCAUAUGAAUAAUAAAAAUUAUAUGUAAAUAAAUUCCCUAACAAAUUCUUUUGAUGAAAAUUUAACCAAAAGUGUCAACCUAUUGCGAUUAUAUCCAAUUCAAACUAAUUGCUGGUUAGAAAAGUUAACCUGGUUUUUAUUCAUUAAAUAAUGAGAUGUUAUUUUUUUACACAUAUUUAGUUCAUUUAUUUUGUAAAUUUAUUAUUGAACUCGUAUAAUUUACAUGUAGAUUACAUAAAUUUAAUGACAAAUUUGCACAUCGAUCUCUUAUAUGAAAAAUAACAUGAGAUGUACAAAAUAAUAAAAGCAAAUAUUUCUCUUUAUAAUAGUGUGUAAAUUAUAGUUGAUAAUUUUUUACAUGACUCGAAAAUUUAAUACGGAUCCAACACAAAAUUAGUGAGUUAGGAUUAAGGGUUUGACCCGUUUAAUUAAAUUGGUGGGGUUAGGGUUUACCUAUACAAUUUUAUAUCUAUAUUUUGACACGAUUCGAACCCGACACACUACAUAAGGGUUGUUAAUUUUUGAUACAACUCGUGAACCCAACAUAAAAUUAACGGGUUAAGGUUGAGGGAUCUAACUUGUUUAAUUAAAUAAAUUAAAUUAUGACUGACUUAUAUAAUUUUAUACACAUACUUUAAUAUAGCUCAAAUAUUACACAUGACCACAAAUUUUCAUCGGUUGUGUAUAUAUAUGGAUUAAUAACUCGCUUUCAGUGAAAAAAGACUCUUAAACUAAUCAAACACCUAGAAUCUUGGAGUUGUGUUCAUAGUCAUAUCAAGCGUUGUCAUUCCCAUAUAAGCUUACAAAAAAAAAAGAAGCAUAUUCAUUCCCAUCAAAACACAUCAUUGUUUGGCCCUUGGGCAUCACGUGCAGAUCAAUGAGAUAUUUUCCCUGUUUCAUGGGAGCUUUUCUUUGUUCUUGGGUUCUUGAUACAACUUACGAGUUUUUCUUUGGUCUUGCGUUUCUUGACAGGACUUGGGAGCCAUUUUGACAUAUUUGUUCGUUUUCUUCGCUGCCCCCUCCCUCAGCAAAAAUGGAAAAGAAAAGAAAAGAAAAGAUCAAAUAUAUAUAUAUGUGUCACAAGUUGCUGACAUGUCUUACGAAAAUCCGUCUGAUCAUGCAAGAAGGGUGAGGUCGUCCGCACCAUAACUGGAUCACUCUUUAUGCAAUACAGGUGGAGAAAGUGGGGGACAUAAGUGGAGGGUACGGAUUGUCUGUUUGUGCCGUGGUGAGUUGGAUUUGUUUGAAAGGGGUGCAAAAAUAAGUUAAAUAAUGGCGGUUGUUAAGCACGGCUGACAUCAACUGCAAUGCUAGCUCGAGCCUCGAGGAGAGUUAGCCUUGGCCCUUGGGUCUGCAGUCUAACUCACGCACGCCAGCGCCACCCAUUUGAGCACUGAUUGGCAACAUCCUGGGAUGUUGCUACAGUGCAACAUCCCAGGACACAUGAACAGUGUUUUUACUGUUCAUGUGGCCCCCACAUGAACAGUGAUUUCACUGUUCAUGUGUCCUACAUGAACAGUGAUUUCACUGUUCAUGUGUCCUGGGAUGUUGCACUGAAUCAU
rnacentral:precursor_RNA from 1 species